rnacentral:rRNA from 1 species
UCGAACGAAAGUUUUUAACUUUAGUGGCGAACGGGUGCGUAAUACGUGAGAAUCUGCCCUUAGGAGGAGGAUAACUGCUGGAAACGGCUGCUAACACUCCAUAUGUCGAGAGAUGAAAUAAUUUAUUGCCUAAGGAUGAGCUCGCGCCUGAUUAGCUAGUUGGUGAGGUAAUGGCUCACCAAGGCCACGAUCAGUAGCUGGUUUGAGAGAACGAUCAGCCACACUGGGACUGAGACACGGCCCAGACUCCUCCGGGAGGCAGCAGUGAGGAAUUUUCCGCAAUGGGCGAAAGCCUGACGGAGCAAUACCGCGUGAGGGAUGAAGGAUUUUGGUCUGUAAACCUCUUUUCUCAAGAAAGAAGUUCUGACGGUACUUGAGGAAUAAGCAUCGGCUAACUCCGUGCCAGCAGCCGCGGUAAUACGGGGGAUGCAAGCGUUAUCCGGAAUCAUUGGGCGUAAAGCGCCUGUAGGUUGUUUAAUAAGUCUGUUGUUAAAGACUAGGGCUUAACCCUAGGAAAGCAAUGGAAACUACUAGACUAGAGUAUGGUAGGGGUAGAGGGAAUUUCUAGUGUAGCGGUGAAAUGCGUAGAUAUUAGAAAGAACACCGGUGGCGAAAGCGCUCUACUGGACCAUUACUGACACUCAGAGGCGAAAGCUAGGGUAGCAAAAGGGAUUAGAUACCCCUGUAGUCCUAGCCGUAAACGAUGGAUACUAGAUGUUGUGCCUAGUGGACAGUAUCGUAGCUAACGCGUUAAGUAUCCCGCCUGGGGAGUACGCUCGCAAGGGUGAAACUCAAAGGAAUUGACGGGGGCCCGCACAAGCGGUGGAGCAUGUGGUUUAAUUCGAUGCAACGCGAAGAACCUUACCAGGGCUUGACAUACUACAGAUCCUUUUGAGAAAAAGGAGUGCCUUCGGGAAUGUAGAUACAGGUGGUGCAUGGCUGUCGUCAGCUCGUGUCGUGAGAUGUUGGGUUAAGUCCCGCAACGAGCGCAACUCUUAUUUUUAGUUACUAAUUCGUUAGGUUCUCUA